UACGAAGGGGGCUAGCGUUGCUCGGAAUUACUGGGCGUAAAGGGCGCGUAGGCGGCCGACCAAGUCAGGCGUGAAAUUCCCGGGCUCAACCUGGGGGCUGCGCUUGAGACUGGUUGGCUAGAGGCCGAGAGAGGGUGGUGGAAUUCCCAGUGUAGAGGUGAAAUUCGUAGAUAUUGGGAAGAACACCGGUGGCGAAGGCGGCCACCUGGCUCGGUACUGACGCUGAGGCGCGACAGCGUGGGGAGCAAACAGG
rnacentral:rRNA from 1 species